AUGCAUAACUAUGUCAAGUUGAAUAUUGAUGCAGGUUUUGAUGUUGAUUCACUUAUGGGGACUUUUGGUGCUGUUUUGAGAGAUAGUAAAGGUGAUUUUGUGGCAGCUGCAAAUAACAAAGUUGAGACUUGCUUGGAUGCCCUCCCAGCGGAGACAAUGACGCUAAGAUUUGGCUUACAUUUAGUGCAAAUUGUUGGCUGCAACCGGCUGGUCGUCAACUCCGACAAUGUUGAUGUUAUUAGCACCAUGCGCGAAGGAGGUUUCUAUGCAAGUGUGGGAGCUCCUAUCUUUGAUGAGUGCUAUCAUAUGUUGACAAACUUUGUUCAUGUCAUAUUCAAGCACUCUCCACGGGAGGAUAACACAGUGGCUCAUGAAUUAGUCCGUAUUGCUAGAUAUGAUAAUCCUAGUAUUUGGUUAGAUAAACCUCCAGAUCUUUCACAGGGUAAAAUGAAGACGAAUAAUCUAAAAGCUAGCACAAGUUACCCGGGAAGUAUGCAAGGCACGGCUGCCCCUAAACUUGCUGCCUUCGGCCAGGCCUUGCGUGAACCCGCUGCUUCGCUCCACCUCCACUCUGAGCAAUCGUUGCAGCCAGCAAGUGUGGCUCCUCCUCCGCUGUCGCAAACGCCCAACCCUCUCUCCAAGGCCACCGCCCCCUGCUUCCUCCUCACACUCUAUGGCGUGAGUUGGGAGCUCCUCUCCCAUAUCAAUACACACCCUGACUAA
rnacentral:rRNA from 1 species